AGCCUGGACUUCAGAACCAACAAAAGCACGGGUCAGGAGGCCGGGUGGGUCAUCUCCUCUCUUCUAGUUUAUCAUCUGUGUCAGAAAAAAGCUCCACAACCUGAUCAGCAAACACCUCAAAGAAGACAGCAUGGGGAUGAAGAUGUGUGCUAUGCUGCACUGGAAAUCCAACAGACAUCACACAGACCAAAGAAGAAGUUCUGACUUCAGCACCUACUCUGGCAUCAACACUCUACACAAGAAUGUAGAGUCUAAAAAAGGAAAAUAACAACCACAAUUGUUACGUUCCCUGCUCUCAGGCAACGUAACAAAAACAAACACGGGGGAAAAUAAGGAAAGUAUUAGAGAAUAAUCAAGAAUGUAUUAGUUUUAAACAUUGUGGCAGCCAAACCAGCCACAUGCCUCUUUCCCUCUCCCGAUCCCCCUGGAUGAUGGUUUUAAAGGGGCCGGCGCUGAUGGUGCAACCAAACAAGAUGGACCCCCAACUAAGCCUUCUGCUGGGCUGCCUGCAGAACACGGAAAAGAAAGAUACACAGGCCACGAACAAUGGUCAGGGAUGACAACAUCUAACAAUUUGAACAUUUGGAGUCAAAUAGACCAUAGGGAGAAAUAUGCUUUAGGGCGGGGCUAACUGUGAUUGACGGACUACAAAUCAAUUUCCAACCUAUUUUGAUUGACUUCUUCCCCACUUACUCUGAGGAGCACUGUAAACUCCUCACAUCCCUCCAUUUUUGACUGGACUAGGAGUUUUCCCACCUUCAAACCUUUCCCACGGUGUCAUUUCUGUUAAGGGAUAUCGACCAUUCUGUCACUUAUCUUCCGCCAUUUAAAUCUGACAGGCAAUCCUUAUUUAUGGCUUGUAUAUUACCUACAACAUGUUUUGCCGAAAAUACUGUUUGCUUAAUUUCCUCACAACACUUUUAAUAAAUAUAACUUUUUAAAAACCUU